UGGAGAAACUGCUCUGAGACAGGCCACAAUAGCAUCUGGAACCUCCUGUGAUCAGCUGCCAGGAUCCUUUAAUGAGAAGUUGUGUGUUCUUUGAUGUCUCUCUGAGAGUCGCUCAAGAGAAAGGAGAUGUUAGCCAAGAUGGGAUUUUCCCAAAAGAAUUCUUUAGAAAAGUGCCAGAACCUUUACCUUCCACCUUGACAGUCCCCAGAGACAAACUGAAAGGACCUCGCUUAAUGUCUCAUCCGAAGGGUAUUUGCAAUGCUGGCUUCAUCAUUCAAAGCAGGAAAGGCCUUUGUCAUGGUCAGAUGGCUUUAAUGUGUUCUGAAUGCUACAUAAAUUCAAACUUGAUGGCUCAUUUAUUUGUUGGAUUGAAGUUUUAUACAAUAAACUAAGCCUUGGUAUUUA